AGACGGAGGGCGCAAGCGUUGUUCGGAAUUACUGGGCGUAAAGCGCGGGCAGGUGGUCUGUUAAGUCGUUUGUGAAAAUCCGGGGCUCAACCCCGCGAAAUGCAAGCGAUACUGGCAGACUGGAGAUCGGUAGAGGCUAGCGGAAUUCCUGGUGUAGCGGUGGAAUGCGUAGAUAUCAGGAAGAACACCUGUGGCGAAGGCGGCUAGCUGGGCCGGGUCUGACGCUGAACCGCGAAAGCGUGGGGAGCAAACAGGAUUAGAAACCCGAGUAGUCC
rnacentral:rRNA from 1 species